rnacentral:rRNA from 1 species
AAGAUUAAUACCUGAUAGUAUGGUGAGAUUGCAUGAUAGCACCAUUAAAGAUUUAUUGGCAAACGAUGGGGAUGCGUUCCAUUAGGUAGUAGGCGGGGUAACGGCCCACCUAGCCGACGAUGGAUAGGGGUUCUGAGAGGAAGGUCCCCCACAUUGGAACUGAGACACGGUCCAAACUCCUACGGGAGGCAGCAGUGAGGAAUAUUGGUCAAUGGGCGAGAGCCUGAACCAGCCAAGUAGCGUGAAGGAUGAAGGUCCUACGGAUUGUAAACUUCUUUUAUACGGGAAUAAAGUAUCCUACGUGUAGGAUUUUGUAUGUACCGUAUGAAUAAGCAUCGGCUAACUCCGUGCCAGCAGCCGCGGUAAUACGGAGGAUGCGAGCGUUAUCCGGAUUUAUUGGGUUUAAAGGGAGCGCAGACGGGAGAUUAAGUCAGUUGUGAAAGUUUGCGGCUCAACCGUAAAAUUGCAGUUGAUACUGGUUUCCUUGAGUGCAGUUGAGGCAGGCGGAAUUCGUGGUGUAGCGGUGAAAUGCUUAGAUAUCACGAAGAACCCCGAUUGCGAAGGCAGCUUGCUAAACUGUAACUGACGUUCAUGCUCGAAAGUGUGGGUAUCAAACAGGAUUAG